UUUAAAAUAUAAUAGAUUUUGUGCAUGUGGAUAUCAUCAGUGCAAGUGCAACCAAUAUUCUGAGAGAUACAGUAAACAGGAACAGGAAGCUCAUUCAAAAGAAACCAUGAAACAUUUAUCACCGGAAACUGAGGAAAAACUAUUUCCACAUGAAAAGCAUACUACAUAGAAAGGAUCUAAUGACAACAGUGCAAGUUACAAAUAUAUAUUUAUAUUCAGUUAAAAAUACAGCUUGUCAAUAAAUAUAAAAAUACAAAAUUAAAUUGUGUAAACUA